GGGUUGUCGGAGGAGGGGUGUUGGCUCUCGAGCCAUGUCCACCACCAGGGUGCGCUGCCGGAGCGGAGGCCGGUCAGCAUGGCCUCGGCCGACCUGGGCGUCACCUUCAGUAGCUGCGCGAAGAGUCCCGUAAAGAGCUGGUAUAGAUUGUUGAACCUUCUUGGAUGGCCUUGAGUGCACUCCGUCCUGCUGCUGCUGCUCACUCUCAGCAUCUUCCAAGAUCUUCUCGAUGCUGCUUGGUUCUCUCUGCAGGGGAAUGAAGGAAUUGAUUUCACCAUGCUUGGAUUUUCCAAAAGGCCACCUUUUCUUCUCCUUUCAAUCUUUGGGCUGCCAAGUAUCGGAUAUCACAUGCAAGAGAUGGAUAAUCAGCUUCAUGUCAAAUUGUCAAUUAUUGGGUCUCUUAUAGAUGUGGAACUCCCGGAACAGUCAUUAAGG